UAUACGUAGGGCACCACGUACGUCACCGUCGGAAACAUUAGCCGUGAUCAGACGAGAUUUAGUAGAGAGGCUUUUCUUCUUCGUGGUAGGGGUAGGAAGCUGAUAAUUAUUUAAGUUAUCUUUAAUACUUGUAGUCAGAGUCUUCAAAGCUUUUUUAUUGGAUUUAUCCGGGACCCGUAGAGCAAUGUACGGAAAAAGGAAAAGAUCAUGCCAACUUUCAAUGGUAUUAUGAGAGAGGCAACGCUCAAUAAUGUUAGAUAGUUUUGCAGCGACAGAAAAACGGACUCCUUUAGGAAUUCUACGAAGUAUUUGAAUGUUAUUUUUGCAGUGGGUUAAUUUAGACGGAAAUGAGUCUACUGGCUGCGAAAAAUUAUCACGCAUAUCAAGAGAAUGAUUGGGAUGAGCCCUAUGAUUUUAGACUUAAAAAAUUUAACUUGAGUAGUAUUAGUUAUGGUCUUGAAACUUAAAGAAUUUGGCGGUAUUUUAGUCUAUUUAGAGGAAUCUGUUCCGUAAUCGAUAAUCCACGUUGGACCUUACUUAAUCUAUUAGUAUGUAUACCGCCGUUUAUUGAAAAUCUUAUUAGGGUAAAUUUUCUUGAUAUAAAAUUAUGUAGAAUUUCAGGUCAAGGUGCAGCUUAUGAUUAAGGGGAAAUGGAUUACAAUAUUAUUAGGUAUAUGGAUUUUAAAUUGAAAAAUUUAUUUGAAAGUGGAUUUAAUAGUAAUUAUUAGAAUAUUAUAAUUUUGAUAUUAGCUCUAAAAUGUGUACACAUCGCCCGUCGCUCUCGUUAUUUAAAAUGAGAUAAGUCGUAACAAAGUAGGUGUACCGGAAGGUGUAGCUAGAAUGAU
rnacentral:rRNA from 1 species